GGCCUUUAUUUUCACAAUGAGAGAGAGAGAGAGAGGAGCGGGGGCUUUCAGCGACCAGAGGGUGACGACUUCGGCAACCGCUGGAGAUCGGGAGCGGUGUCCCCGGGAUGGAGCUCGAUUCCUGAGGGACUAAUGGCGCCCCGGAAGGCUCAUGGUGAAGAGGAUAUUCAACGUGCAAUCAUGUGACAGACCCGUGAAGCUCCUCAAAAAGAGCGAUCAACGCAACCUUUGCAACAUUUACAAAGAGGGGAACACCGCUCCAAUCAACCAUGCAAUUGAUUUGUUGAAAGCUUGCAGCGAGACGGAUGAGGUGAUGGUAGAGAGGACAUGGAUUCUCAUUACCUUGGCGACAAUCCUAUGUCCAUGCACUCAGAAUAUGAUCAACCUUGAAUACAUGGCUUCCCUUGAAGACAUGGCUUCGGUGCACGAGUUCGCUUGGGAUGAGCAGUUUUUGGAAGCAACCAUGGAGGAGGUUGUAGUGUUCCAAGAUAAGAAGCAAAUCUAGCAAACAACGAAAAAUCCUCCAGAGUUUUAGAUUAGCUCGUGUCUACAUAUGCUCGUGUUCCAGAGUUUUGUUGCAUGCAUUGUAUAUAUGCUAUAGCACACACCACUAUUUUCCCAAUGUUUUUUUGCUCUAUGUUUUUUUAUCGCAGAUCAUAUAUAUGGGUCAUCUUGAUA